UACGUAGGCAGCGAGCGUUGUUCGGAGUUACUGGGCGUAAAGCGUGCGUAGGCGGUUGUCUAAGUUUGGUGUGAAAUCUCCUGGCUUAACUGGGGGGGUGCGCCGAAAACUGGGUGACUGGAGUGUCGGAGAGGUAAGCGGAAUUCCUGGUGUAGCGGUGAAAUGCGUAGAGAUCAGGAGGAACACCUGUGGUGUAGACAGCUUACUGGACGAUAACUGACGCUGAGGCACGAAAGCGUGGGUAGCAAACAGG
rnacentral:rRNA from 1 species